rnacentral:rRNA from 1 species
UACGAAGGGGGCUAGCGUUGCUCGGAAUCACUGGGCGUAAAGCGCACGUAGGCGGAUUGUUAAGUCAGGGGUGAAAUCCUGGAGCUCAACUCCAGAACUGCCUUUGAUACUGGCGAUCUCGAGUCCGGGAGAGGUGAGUGGAACUGCGAGUGUAGAGGUGAAAUUCGUAGAUAUUCGCAAGAACACCAGUGGCGAAGGCGGCUCACUGGCCCGGUACUGACGCUGAGGUGCGAAGGUCAGGGGAGCAAACGGG